rnacentral:lncRNA from 1 species
GGCAGGACUGUCAACUCUGGGCGCUGCCGCUGGCUGGCUGGCUGGUGGUGGUGAAAUUGAACUGUUUGCAGCUACAAAUUGCAGCUGGCUCUCAACCGGCUGCAUUCUGUUUUAUUUUCGACAGGUGAAAUAACCGCAAUUACACUGAUUCCGCACUGGCCCCCACUGGCUCCGCUGGCACGCCGCUAUUUCUCGUGCCGAACUUUAGAAAUGAAAUUGCCAGUCCGAGUUGGGUCCAACACACAUUUGCAGCGGCAAGAAGUGCGCUUAAGUGCCGCUUUGCGAAACAUUUCAUUGCAUAAGCAGGGGGUCUGCGGGGUGCUGCUGCUGCUGCUGCUGCUGCUGCAGGAAGCCUGCUAAAGUGAAAUACUGCCAUCGCCAUCGCCAUCGUUGUCGUUGUCGUUGUCGUCCUUGCUGGCUAGAAAAGUCAAAAAACUAACGAAAUCGGAAACGGAAGCACACAAAGCGCCACUGCCCGCUCCGCUUCUCUUCUCUUUCCCCUGUUUCCUCUCGCAUUCUCCCGUUCUCUGUUUGUCCUGCAUCAUCAUUUUCGCUUGGCUGCCUGCCUGAGAACUGCCCAAAAGUCGCAGAGAGAGCAGAGAGAGAGAGAGAGAGAGAGCGAUGGUAACUUUUCCCUAGUCAAACGUAGCAACUGCGAGAGAAACAAACACAACAAAACGGAGAAAAGUUGCCACAGUUUUCGCACAGUUUUCCCGCAGUGACUUUUGCUGUUGCUGCUGCCUUUGGUUGUCAUCAUUUCUAUAUAAAAAUUGGAUGCUCAUUUGCCGCUCUUGGUCAGUUUUGCCGUGCCCCACUCGAACCGCUGGUAAUUUGCAGCAGCCAAUCUGGGAGCCAGCCACAGCCACAGCCACAGCCACAGCCAUCGUCCCUGCCCCUGCCCCUGACCACACUCGAAUGCUUUGUUCAAUUAAUGAGACUCUUGACAGUUUUGCGCUGCUCCUUGCCAGUUGCUUCGGUGUCCUUUCGCUUCCUCUUUGUUUUCGUUGCGUUUACCAAGUCCUAGCUGGAAGGACCACUCGUGCUGCUGUUUUGUAAUUUAUAAUGUUAACUUUUUGAUUUCUGCCAGGUCAGGGCGCACUUAAUUAAUGAAACAGGCGCAGCAAAGGAAAUUGCCGAGAAGGAGCGCGGACAGGAAGGAGGAUGCCCGAUGAAGG